UAAGUUCAGCCUCACAGUAAUGUGCAGCUGAGUUUAGUGCUGUUGUGCUGUAUUGGGCCCAGAGUCGGCGUUGUCUUGAGCCAUGAGCUGUCCACCUAAAGCAGCGACAGUGAGUUGCCUACACACGCUUCGGAACGAACGCCGCAGCUACCUCACUUGGGCAAGGCAGCUGAACUGCUGAGUAUAUUUCUAUUGGGUCUCAAUCGGCUAGGCCAUUAUUUGAACUGUUGCCGCAUGAUACUCUAAUCAUUAGAAACUUACCGAUCACAGUUUGCAUGGAUGCUCGCAGCCGGCCAUCUCUCACUCUGGAUCUUAUGGGAUUUUACUGAUCAGUGUCAACAUGCUUCCAUUCACCUCCUCUGGUCGUCCUUCUCGAUCCUUAAAAACGCGUCCGCCUAACCCCACCCGCGGAACCACCACCAGGUUUCCCUCUCUCCCGACUCUUUCCCCCUCAUUUCGCUCCCCCUCUAUGAGUAAAG
rnacentral:lncRNA from 1 species